AGAACAAUCCAUCAUCAGUUUCCUCUGUUCUGUGCUGCUUGUUGGUGAUGCUGUUGAUGAAGGACCUUCAGAGAGUCUCAGUGAUCUGACAGGCCACUGAAAUAUCUGAUUUCAAAGAGGUGCUCGCAGUCUGUACUGAUGCCAUCUAAGAAUGCAAAUGCUCAGGCUGACACUGCGAGGUGGGAAAAGCUUCCAGGGGUCCAUUGAUCUUGUGGCGUGGGAGGACGGUUAUGGUGUGAGCCUGUACCGGGAGAUGAUUCCCUGUGAUGGCAAUUUAAGAAGCCUAUGAUCCACUGAAAGUAUAGAAGACCCAGGUCUGCUUAAAACUGUGCCAGUCCCGGGCUAAUAGUG